ensembl:snRNA U6 U6 spliceosomal RNA
UUGCUAAUUUUGGCAGCAUAUAUCUGAGAUUGCAACAAUACAGAGAAUAUUAGCAUGGCCCCUGAAAAGGAUGACAGGCAAAUAUGUGAAGUGUUCCAUAUUAAA